CACGUUUCUCUGCCUCUUCUGUGUAAUGGAAUCUCUACUUAGUUUAGGGGAAAAUGCCCUCUGAAAGACGGGACUGCUGAAGCCGGGUCAAUAGGUCAUGAUCAGAGAUGUUAAAAGGAUCCGCUAAGAUCAUGUAGCAAACUAAAGACGAGAAAGCCAACGGCAGACCGCUUUCCAGCCCAGCUCUCAUCGUGGCUCCCAGCAUCCAAACACAAAACAUUUGGAGCUCGUGAAACAGUUCAGAGAGUAAAGGGGCUUGCUGCCAAGCCUCACGACCUGAGUUCUGUCCCAAGCAUGCCCAUGGCAGAAGAAGAAAACCAAUUCUGACAGGAGCUAAUGCUGCCCAGAUAACGCACCGCUCAAACUAGAUGACACACCCGUGCUUGCUUGGCUGGUUUCUGCCAAGUUGACACAAGCUACGGUCAUCCUUCAGCUGAGACCUAGUGGGAUGGAAACUCCCUGGCAUCUAUGAGAAAAUGCCAUAAGAUUGACUCGUGGGCCAGGCUGCAGGGCAUUUUCUUGACAGCCGAUUGAUAUGGAAGCGUUUCUCUCUCUGGGGGUGGAAGAGAGCAAACUGGG
ensembl:lncRNA